CAAUAGCGUAUAUUAAAGUUGUUGCGGUAAAAAAGCCCGUAGUUGGAUUUCUGUUGAGAGCGACCGGUCCAUACCAUGUAUGCGUAUCUGGCUUGCUCUCGGCAUCCUCUCGAUAGACGUUACUGCGCUUGAUUGCGUGGUGCGGAUCUCGGGACUUUUACUUUGAGGAAAUUAGAGUGUUCACGGCAGGCUUUCGCCAGAAUACAUUAGCAUGGAAUAAUACUAUAGGAUCUUGGUUCUAUUUUGUUGGUUUCUAGAAUUGAGAUAAUGAUUAAUAGGGACAAUUGGGGGCAUUCGUAUCAACACGUCAGAGGUGGAAUUCUUGGAUUGUGUUGCGACGAACUACUGCGAAAGCAUUUGCCAAGGAUGUUUUCAUUGA
rnacentral:rRNA from 1 species